rnacentral:rRNA from 1 species
GGGGAAUUGUUCGCAAUGGGCGCAAGCCUGACGACGCAACGCCGCGUGGAGGACGAAGAUCUUCGGGUCGUAAACUCCUGUCGAGCGGGAAGAACGCUUCCCGGGUGAAUAAUCCGGGGAGGUGACGGUACCGCUAAAGGAAGCCCCGGCUAACUCCGUGCCAGCCGCCGCGGUAAUACGUAGGUGACGAGCGUUAUCCGGAAUUAUUGGGCGUAAAGCGCCCGCAGGCGGCUGUUCAAGUCUGACGUGAAAUCGCUCGGCUUAACUGGGCGGGGUCGUUGGAAACUGAAUAGCUUGAGGCAAGGAGAGGGGCGUGGAAUUCCCGGUGUAGUGGUGGAAUGCGUAGAUAUCGGGAGGAACAUCAGUGGCGCAAGCGGCGCCCUGGCCUUAGCCUGACGCUCAGGGGCGAAAGCGUGGGGAGCGAAC